AACGCAAUACCAACAUUAUGCAAUUGCCAAAGACUCACUUGAAGCUGUAGUUGACCUUAUGAACUCACCCCUAGUUCUAGAUAAAUCAAUUUAGGUAUUACCUUGAUAAUUAAUUAAGAUAAUAAGAAUCGUUUGAACUCAGAGUGAUCGAUCGAUGAUACAGGUCAUGAGGAACGCAAUAGCGACAUCAUGCAAUUGACAAAGACUCAAUUGAAGUUGUAGUUGACC
rnacentral:lncRNA from 1 species